rnacentral:rRNA from 1 species
CCUACGGGAGGCAGCAGUGGGGAAUUUUGGACAAUGGGCGCAAGCCUGAUCCAGCAAUGCCGCGUGAGUGAAGAAGGCCUUCGGGUUGUAAAGCUCUUUUGUCAGGGAAGAAACGGUGGGAGCUAAUAUCUCCCGCUAAUGACGGUACCUGAAGAAUAAGCACCGGCUAACUACGUGCCAGCAGCCGCGGUAAUACGUAGGGUGCAAGCGUUAAUCGGAAUUACUGGGCGUAAAGCGUGCGCAGGCGGUUUUGUAAGUCUGUCGUGAAAGCCCCGGGCUCAACCUGGGAAUUGCGAUGGAGACUGCAAGGCUUGAAUCUGGCAGAGGGGGGUAGAAUUCCACGUGUAGCAGUGAAAUGCGUAGAGAUGUGGAGGAACACCGAUGGCGAAGGCAGCCCCCUGGGUCAAGAUUGACGCUCAUGCACGAAAGCGUGGGGAGCAAACAGGAUUAGAUACCCUGGUAGUCCACGCCCUAAACGAUGUCUACUAGUUGUCGGGCUUUAAUUAACUUGGUAACGCAGCUAACGCGUGAAGUAGACCGCCUGGGGAGUACGGUCGCAAGAUUAAAACUUAAAGGAAUUGACGG